CUCCUCUUUUGAUCACUGUUCCUGAUUUUGGCUUUCUCCGAGCAUUAGAUUGUGUGCCUUUUGUUCCUUGAAGAGAUAUGGUCCUGAAAUACCAUGAUCUCAUAUAAUUUUCCUCACUGAACGUGUUAGUAUACUUAUGAAGAAGCUGAGGUACAGAGAAGUUGAAGGUUUCCCAGUGUCACAGAGAAGAGCUGGAACUAAAGCUUGUGUUUCCUGAUUUCAAGAUUAUUGUGCUCAUUUCUACUUCCAGCUUACUUUUU